GGUGGCCCCGUCGGCCCCUCGCGACGCUAGGUCGAAAACCCCGCCAGGGCCGGAAGGCAGCAACGGUAUCGAUCGACGCGGGCGCCGAGGUCAGCCGGCGGGGCCACCGCCUUUU
rnacentral:SRP_RNA from 2 species